rnacentral:rRNA from 1 species
GAGUUUGAUCCUGGCUCAGGGUUAACGCUGGCGGUGCGCAUAACACAUGCAAGUCGAGCGAGGGCUUAUUUCUCGCAAGAGAGAUGAGUUCCUAGCGGCGAACGGGUGAGUAACACGUGGGCAACCUUUCCUAUCGCGGGGGAUAACACCGGGAAACCGAUGCUAAUACCGCAUGUCGUCACCGGUCGCAUGGCUGGUGAAGAAAGCAGCAAUGCACGAUGGGGUGGGCCCGCGGCCUAUCAGCUAGUCGGUGGGGUAACGGCCUACCGAGGCGAUGACGGGUAGCUGGUCUGAGAGGACGGCCAGCCACACGGGGACUGAGACACGGCCCCGACUCCUACGGGAGGCAGCAGUGAGGAAUCUUCCGCAAUGGGCGAAAGCCUGACGGAGCGACGCCGCGUGUGGGAUGAAGUCUUUCGGGAUGUAAACCACUGUCGGAGGGGAAGACAAAAAAGACGGUACCCUCCAAGAAAGCCCCGGCUAACUACGUGCCAGCAGCCGCGGUAAUACGUAGGGGGCAAGCGUUAUCCAGAUUUACUGGGCGUAAAGCGCGUGUAGGCGGCUGGUUAGGCGUGAUGUGAAAUCUUCCGGCUCAACCGGAAAAAUGCAUUGCGAACCGGCCUGGCUAGAGUGCAGGAGUGGGAAGCGGAAUUCCAGGUGUAGCGGUGAAAUGCGUAGAUAUCUGGAGGAACACCAGUGGCGAAGGCGGCUUCCUGGCCUGCAACUGACGCUGAGACGCGAAAGCGUGGGGAGCGAACCGGAUUAGAUACCCGGGUAGUCCACGCCCUAAACGUUGUGAACUAGGUGUUGGUCGGAUUGACCCGAUCAGUGCCGCAGCUAACGCAUUAAGUUCACCGCCUGGGGACUACGGCCGCAAGGUUAAAACUCAAAGGAAUAGGCGGGGGCCCGCACAAGCAGCGGAGCGUGUGGUUUAAUUCGAGGCAACGCGAAGAACCUUACCUGGGCUUGACAUGCAGAGGAAACUUUGGUGAAAGCCAGAGCCUCCCGCAAGGGACUUCUGCGCAGGUGGUGCAUGGCUGUCGUCAGCUCGUGCCGUGAGGUGUUGGGUUAAGUCCCGCAACGAGCGCAACCCUCGUCGAAUGUUGCCAUCAUUCAGUUGGGCACUCAUUCGAGACCGCCGUUGAUAAGACGGAGGAUGGUGGGGAUGACGUCAAGUCAGCAUGGCCCUUACGUCCUGGGCUACACACGUGCUACAAUGGCCGGCACAACGGGCAGCUAGACCGCAAGGUCAAGCCAAUCCCUUAAAACCGGUCUCAGUUCGGAUUGCAGGCUGCAACUCGCCUGCAUGAAGUCGGAAUCGCUAGUAACUGCAGAUCAGCUACGCUGCGGUGAAUACGUUCCCGGGCCUUGCACACAC